rnacentral:ncRNA from 1 species
UUGCUGUCCGGUAUAAUAGGGAAACGGGUGAAAUUCCCGUGCGGGACCGCCGCCGUAAUGGCAGAGUUUCGGCUUUUUUGAAGUCACUGUGGACAGCCAUGGGAAGACAAAGCCGAAAUGUGGACGCCUAAGCCGGAAGACCUGCCUUUUGUUCC